rnacentral:lncRNA from 1 species
UUUUUUUUUUUCUUUUUUUCUGUAACAUUUACUUUUUGGCCGUAAGACCCUAGACACAGUUUCACAGUACAGGUCAUGCAUAGCUUGCAAGUCAAACGUUUUACAGCUACUGUCUAACUACUAUUUUUGGACAACAGAUUCACAUGCAGCUAAUGAUCCCGGAAACGGGGCUUCAGAAAGCACUCUUUAAGUUUCACUGACCAUUCUUUGACCCAAAGUAUGUAAGUAAUAACCCCAAAGGGCAACAAUGAAUUUUAUUGUCAUACUUGAGAUCAUAUACUUUUUAAGCCCAGAAAGGAUUUUUCAGCCAACUGCAUGUAACUAAACCACAAACUGUCUUCCUAGCCUUAUUCCAUUAACACUGAUGCUAGAUUCCCCUGCACAACCCUCCAGAACCCCAUGGUCCAAUAUGGUAGCCACUAGCCAUGUGAGCCACUAUGUUUAAGUAACUUAAAAUACAAAAUCCACCUCCUCCUCGUACUAACCCUGCUUCAACUGCCCACUAGCCAAUGUGGCCAGUGGCUACUAUAUUGGACAGCAUAGGUUAUAGAACAUUUCCAUCAUCCGAGAAAGGUCUACUGAACAGACUAGAUCUCGAAGGCUGCACCAGCACAUGGGUUAACCUUCAAGGGACCUACUCUGAAGUCAUGCAGAAGAUUAAACUUAAUUAUAUUCUCAAAGAAAGUACCUUUUAGCUUUCUAAUCAUAAAGUAUGACUGAAACUGAGAACCAAUUUGCCUUUUCAUCACAACUUAUGCCCCAGGUCAUUAUAUGAAAAUUUCUCAAAGACAACGCUUUUCGAUAGCAUACUUGGCUCUACUUAACAUAUUGAGCAUUCUCUUGUUUAUGUCAAGAUCAUUAAUAAAGAUGAAAAUUCAUGCUUCUUAAAGUUAACUAUUUACACAACACUCAUUGUCCUUUACAUAAGGGGGAGGAGGGAACCAAUGGUGUGCGAUUUUAAAAAUUCAAAUCACAUCAUUUUUAUUAAAUGUCUCUAUUCGUCUUUUAAUCAACCCUCCUUUCAUUUCCCAGAGAGGUAGAUGCUAACUAAAAGGAAUAUGUAUAUAUAUUAAAACCAACAACAACAACAAAAACCCACACAACCUAAAGCAAUAGUUGAGUCAGUAAAGGAGUAAAGGGUAUGCAUCCACCCUCCAAAGGCUCACAGUCCGACAGAGAUGUCAACAGGCAUAAGAAGGAGCAAGAGAAACUUUAAUGCAGUUCUCAUCUCCCUUUUGUUGCAGAAUUUCAAGGGGCCACCUACCUCUGUGGGCCUCCACGGGCUCAUGUACGAAACAAAGCCACCGGGGAAUGCUUUCAGCUCUGACUCUGUGCUUUCAGUUGUGAUUUUUUUCACUCAUGUGCAACUGUGAAUUCCGGUUGAUUGGGUCACUGGACUUUUGUCACACGGGGUAGAUGAGUUGUUCAUGUUGUGAGGAAAUGCCAGAAGAGGCCAGAGCAAGGGGAUGCCAGCUAACAGUGAAACAGCCAGUCGACAAAAAUUCUAUCUGUAGGCUGAGGUAUGACACGCACACACAAACACAUGCGCACUUACAUGUGUGCACAACGGCGCACCGUAAAAGGCAAUGUACAGGUAACUGGAGGCAGAAUGCAUUUAAACAAUAUUUCUUAGGUCAGUAAGACUCACACAGGAAAUUCUGAUCUUGGUAUUAUUAUUACCUUAAAUUGAAAAUUCAAGAAUGUAUCACAGAGCCGAUUAAUUUUGCACUGCUCACCUGCAGCUCUAGCAUGGGAUUGUUUUUAAGUUACGUGGACAUUUUUACUCUACAGCUUUGCACUAAGAAACACAGGGCUCUACGGCCACACGCAUUAGUGUCUACAUCUAACCUACUUAACACACAUAACUCGAGGACAUACUACACUACAGGGCCAGUCACUUCAUACUGUACAUAAACAGAUGCAGAUAUCAUUCACAAAAUUAACUCAAAUAUGGCCUGGCU